CGGGCGAGUAAUGCCUAGGGAUCUGCCUAGUCGAGGGGGAUAACAGUUGGAAACGACUGCUAGUACCGCAUACGCCCUACGGGGGAAAGGAGGGGACCUUCGGGCCUUCCGCGAUUGGAUGAACCUAGGUGGGAUUAGCUAGUUGGUGAGGUAAUGGCUCACCAAGGCGACGAUCCCUAGCUGUUCUGAGAGGAUGAUCAGCCACACUGGGACUGAGACACGGCCCAGACUCCUACGGGAGGCAGCAGUGGGGAAUAUUGCACAAUGGGGGAAACCCUGAUGCAGCCAUGCCGCGUGUGUGAAGAAGGCCUUCGGGUUGUAAAGCACUUUCAGUAGGGAGGAAAGGGUGUAGUUUAAUACGCUAUAUCUGUGACGUUACCUACAGAAGAAGGACCGGCUAACUCCGUGCCUGCAGCCGCGGUAAUACGGAGGGUCCGAGCGUUAAUCGGAAUUACUGGGCGUAAAGCGUGCGCAGGCGGUUUGUUAAGCGAGAUGUGAAAGCCCUGGGCUCAGCCUAGGAAUAGCAUUUCGAACUGGCGAACUAGAGUCUUGUAGAGGGGGGUAGAAUUCCAGGUGUAGCGGUGAAAUGCGUAAAGAUCUGGAGGAAUACCGGUGGCGAAGGCGGNCCCCUGGACAAAGACUGACGCUCAUGCACGAAAGCGUGGGGAGCAAACAGGA
rnacentral:rRNA from 1 species